CGUCUAUAUACGUAUAGCAUAUCAAUAAGCGGAGGAAAAGAAACUAACAUAGGAUUCCCUCAGUAACGGCGAGUGAAGCGGGAAGAGCUCAAAUUUGAAAUCUUCAAGGUUCUACCUUGACGAAUUGUAGUUUAAAGAAGUGUUUUCUGUUAGAUGAGUUCGUAAAAGUUCCUUGGAAUAGGGACAUCAUAGAGGGUGAGAAUCCCGUAUUUGACCGUUAUUCCUUCUAGCUUUGUGAUACACUUUCAAAGAGUCGGAUUGUUUGGGAAUGCAGUCCAAAAUGGGUGGUAAAUUUCAUCUAAAGCUAAAUAUUGGCGAGAGACCGAUAGCGAACAAGUACCGUGAGGGAAAGAUGAAGAGAACUUUGAAAAGAUGAGUUAAACAGUACGUGAAAUUGUCAAAAGGGAAGCGUUUGACACCAGUGUUGUUUUUCCGAAAAUCAAUUACGAAUGGUUUGAUUUUUGUAGUAGUUAUGACCUUCAUCAGCUUUCUGCACUUUCUUUAUGAAGUCUUUCUUAAUGCACUUUUUCGGUUAACAAGUCAACAUCAAUUUCUUUUGUUGUAAAAGGGUAUGAGGAAGGUGGCUUUCUUUUCGGAGAAAGUGUUUAUAGCCUUGUGCCUCUGCAAUCGGAGAGAUUGAGGUCUGCAGCGUAGAUCCUUCGGGGUUAGAUACGUUUGUGCUAAGUUAUAGCUUUUCAUAGACAACUUGUUGACUAUGUUUAGUCUUGUAGCUUACUCGCUGACGCUAUUUUACCUACGCUUAGGAUGUUGACUGAUAUGUAGUCGUA
rnacentral:rRNA from 1 species